GAAAUAGCAGUUAUAUCCAAGGCACGUUCUUCAAUUUAUGGAGUCACCAGAAUACAAUAGGUUUACACAUAUAGUCUUCGAUACUGCUCCCACGGGACAUACUUUGCGGCUUCUUUUUUCUGUCCAAUUUCUAUGAUUCUUCAAUUGGAAAAAUAACAAAGGUUUGAUGAUUCAGUUUUUUAUCCUUUUG